UCAGGGUUGCAGGCUAUGGCUCCGAAGGUUCUUCGUCAGUACUGGGAUAUCCCCGAUGGCACCGAUUGCCACCGCAAAGCCUACACCACCACCAGCAUUGCCAGCGUCGCUGGCCUGACCGCCGCUGCCUACAGAGUCAGGCUCAAUCCUCCGGGCACCUUCCUUGAAGGAGUGGCUAAGGUCGGACAAUACACGUUCACUGCAGCUGCUGUCGGGACAGUGUUUGGCCUCACCUCCUGCAUCAGCGCCCAGGUCCGCGAGAAGCCCGAUGACCCCCUAGGUGGCUGACCCCCUACUUCCUAGGUGGCUGUGCCAGAGGCCUGACUCUGGGGGCAGGCACGCACAAUUACGGGAUCGGCGCUGUCGCCUGAGUGUACUUGGGCAUAGCGGCCUCCCUGGUCAAGAUGGGGCGGCCGGAGGGCUGGGAGAUGUUUGCAAAACCCAAGGUGUGAGCCCUGUGCCAGCCGGGACCUCCAGCCUGCAGAAUGCGUCCAGAAAUAAAUUCUGUGUCU